AUCGAGCUGUUAUGACGACCGUCGAAGAUCUCGCAUUGUAUUUUUACAUCGCUAGUGGGAUCGCCGCGGCGGUGUUAAUCAUCCUGUUUAUCCUCGUCGCCGUUCUAUUCGUCAGGGUAAACAGGCUCAUCUCCGACAAGUGUAAUGUAACGUCUUUCGCUCGAGUAGAUGCACGAUAUGCAAUUAACGGUGCCUUUAUCAACUGGUUGAAAAAGGUGUGUCUCAAGUUCUUUUUCUUUCAUCUCUGUUCCUCUUCAAAUCGUUGGUACAAAUAAAUUCUUUCAACUUUUAUCAUGAUGCUGUUCGUAAACGAUUAUCUCGACUAUAAUGAUUAAUGGAAGUAUCGAUUCUCGGUUUUUUUCCAUUUUUGUACACUUUCAUUCCUCACCUGGAUAAGUCCGUAUCGAUUUUUUCCCUAAACAAAAUUUUUGGGCCUUGUAAAGCUUCAAUUUUUACGAGGCUGCAUACUGCGAUUCUUUGAUAAUUUAAACUUUAAAUUAAUUAUUCUCAACUUUUGACUUUUCAAACUUGCGCCCAAGGUUUCUCGUGUAAAGUUUUUUUUACCGAUUCGUCUGAAAUUUUCACACAUUUUCAUAGGAUUUGGCCCUACCCUAAAUCUUAUGUUGAAAAAUGGCUAAUUUUUCUGUCAGGAUUUUUAAAAACGAUGUAUUUUCUUUCAAAACGAAUCUGUUGAAAAACUUCUAUAAAAAUUUGUGGGUAUUUUUAAGUAAAUUAUGUCGGAAAAAUCCGUAUGCUGUGCGACAAAUAUUAAGUGAGAAAUCUUUCGUGCAGUGAAUUUUCACCUUUUUACAAUCUAUUAAAAUUGCACUCUUGGUUUGUCACCUUGGUACAUUUAAAUGAGAAUCUAAUUAGCCAAAUUUACUCUAAAAGAUGUGAGAAAUGCGUACCUAAAAUCUCUAAAUUUUUUAAAACUCUUCCUGCAUGAAAUAAUAAUUAACUAAAAUACCCAGGAAAUUCCUGAAAUUCCUCUAAAUGUCCCCUUAACGAUGUAAUUUUCCCCCGUUGCUCAUUGCAGUCUUGAGAAGAUAGAAGUACUCGUUUAUCUGAUCAUCAAGCAUACAGUGAAUGAGUAAUAUAUUAAAUUCAAAGGAUGACGAAGUAUUGCGAUAUCUUAUCUUUACUACGUUUCGAACGAUUGUUUGUUUAAUUUAGCAUUGUAACAAAGAUAUUAACGUUACACGUAGUUACUGCCCUACAGAUCCUGCGUCUUACAGACCUGCUAGACGAAACGGUGAUCGUUGUCUGUCGAGCCUUGAAUUGUAUAAAAUAAGUAAAGAAAAGCUUGUGUAUAUUAUUGUUUGCUUAACUUAACACCGGACUCGUUUAGUAAAUUAUUAUUCGGGCGGGAAACUUUUUGGAGAACUGAAAAAGUGUUUGGAGGAAUAAUUUUUACCAACAGUUCUUACAGUAUGUACGUAUAUACGUAUGGA
rnacentral:lncRNA from 1 species